GGAAAUUGUUAGAAAAGGCAAUUGAGAAUAAUUAAUUAAGCUUUUACGAUCGAUGGAUACGGAUUUUUGCUGCGGGCAAGGAAUAACGAAGUUUAAACGAAGAUUGCGGCAUCAACGAAAUUAUGUAAUUUUAUUAGACAACGAACGGUGCAAACAAAUAUUUCUUCAAUCUAUUGCUCUUAGCGGAGGAUGUCAGAGGUCGCGGAAUACGAAUAACAGUCAAGGUUUCGAGAUUUCGAGAAGUCGAGUGGUUGGAGAGGAAUCGUUUUGCUGCUAGCUUGGAAUCUUAAAUUACGUGCAGACUGGGUUACAAUCGUUGGAAACACUGUAUCAGUUACAUGAUUGUAAAUGCAAAAUUGAUUAUACAGGAAUUGACAUGUUUUUUAUCCAUGUGAUCAUAUUUUUAUACACUUUGACUCAAAGGAUACUAUAAGGAAUAUGAGAUUAAAUUAUAAAUCGUUAUGCGCUAUUAUUACAUCACCGGAUGAUAUACAAUAGUGAUAUGAAACGAGAAUACACAAACCCACUUUAAAAAAAUUACCUGAUUUGUAUCUCAAUUUCUACGCAAUUUAAUCGUAUCUUCAAUUCAAUCAGAGAUGAUUUUAUCAAUUUAAAUUUUUACUUUUCUUCCAGGAUUAAUUUUUAUCGCUUAAUUUUCCACCAAUAAAAGUUACAAGAUAUAUAGUUGGAAGAUUAAAAAAGAAAUUGAAAAACAAAAUUAGGAAAAUUUCUAAAGAUUUUUUUGCUGCUUUUAAGUAAGAGUUGAUUAAAUUUUUCGGAAAACGUGUCUUUAGAGGAGAAUAAAAGAUCCGCAUAGACAACAUGGAUUGAUACUUGAGAAUAUUGCGCAAGUACCAUAUAACUAUACGCCGACGCGGUUAAUCGCGAAACAAACGCGAGAAAAUUUAAACGAUAGAAAGUCGAAUGGUUUAGACAUAUAUAUCAAUGUAUAUAAGAUAUAAAUACACAUAUAGAUGAUUCGUAUAUUAUCUUACGAAUAUUUAUACAAUAUUUUACAAGAAAUUCACCUAAUUUCAUAAAACUUUGGUUUUAAUGAA